AGAGUUUGAUCCUGGCUCAGGAUGAACGCUAGCUACAGGCUUAACACAUGCAAGUCGAGGGGCAGCAUGUUGGUUGCUUGCAACCAACGAUGGCGACCGGCGCACGGGUGAGUAACGCGUAUCCAACCUACCCUUGUCCAUCGGAUAACCCGUCGAAAGGCGGCCUAACACGAUAUGCGGUUCACAGCAGGCAUCUAACGUGAACGAAAUGUAAAGGAGAAGGAUGGGGAUGCGUCUGAUUAGCUUGUUGGCGGGGUAACGGCCACCAGGCUACGAUCAGUAGGGGUCUGAGAGGAAGGUCCCCCACAUUGGAACUGAGACACGGUUCCAAACUCCCUACGGGAGGCA
rnacentral:rRNA from 1 species